rnacentral:rRNA from 1 species
GGUUAAGCGACUAAGCGUACACGGUGGAUGCCCUGGCAGUCAGAGGCGAUGAAGGACGUGCUAAUCUGCGAUAAGCGUCGGUAAGGUGAUAUGAACCGUUAUAACCGGCGAUUUCCGAAUGGGGAAACCCAGUGUGAUUCGACACACUAUCAUUAACUGAAUCCAUAGGUUAAUGAGGCGAACCGGGGGAACUGAAACAUCUAAGUACCCCGAGGAAAAGAAAUCAACCGAGAUUCCCCCAGUAGCGGCGAGCGAACGGGGAGCAGCCCAGAGCCUGAAUCAGUGUGUGUGUUAGUGGAAGCGUCUGGAAAGGCGCGCGAUACAGGGUGACAGCCCCGUACACAAAAAUGCAACAAUGCUGUGAGCUCGAUGAGUAGGGCGGGACACGUGGUAUCCUGUCUGAAUAUGGGGGGACCAUCCUCCAAGGCUAAAUACUCCUGACUGACCGAUAGUGAACCAGUACCGUGAGGGAAAGGCGAAAAGAACCCCGGCGAGGGGAGUGAAAAAGAACCUGAAACCGUGUACGUACAAGCAGUGGGAGCACGCUUAGGCGUGUGACUGCGUACCUUUUGUAUAAUGGGUCAGCGACUUAUAUUCUGUAGCAAGGUUAACCGAAUAGGGGAGCCGAAGGGAAACCGAGUCUUAACUGGGCGUUAAGUUGCAGGGUAUAGACCCGAAACCCGGUGAUCUAGCCAUGGGCAGGUUGAAGGUUGGGUAACACUAACUGGAGGACCGAACCGACUAAUGUUGAAAAAUUAGCGGAUGACUUGUGGCUGGGGGUGAAAGGCCAAUCAAACCGGGAGAUAGCUGGUUCUCCCCGAAAGCUAUUUAGGUAGCGCCUCGUGAAUUCAUCUCCGGGGGUAGAGCACUGUUUCGGCAAGGGGGUCAUCCCGACUUACCAACCCGAUGCAAACUGCGAAUACCGGAGAAUGUUAUCACGGGAGACACACGGCGGGUGCUAACGUCCGUCGUGAAGAGGGAAACAACCCAGACCGCCAGCUAAGGUCCCAAAGUCAUGGUUAAGUGGGAAACGAUGUGGGAAGGCCCAGACAGCCAGGAUGUUGGCUUAGAAGCAGCCAUCAUUUAAAGAAAGCGUAAUAGCUCACUGGUCGAGUCGGCCUGCGCGGAAGAUGUAACGGGGCUAAACCAUGCACCGAAGCUGCGGCAGCGACGCUGAUGCGUUGUUGGGUAGGGGAGCGUUCUGUAAGCCUGUGAAGGUGUGCUGUGAGGCAUGCUGGAGGUAUCAGAAGUGCGAAUGCUGACAUAAGUAACGAUAAAGCGGGUGAAAAGCCCGCUCGCCGGAAGACCAAGGGUUCCUGUCCAACGUUAAUCGGGGCAGGGUGAGUCGACCCCUAAGGCGAGGCCGAAAGGCGUAGUCGAUGGGAAACAGGUUAAUAUUCCUGUACUUGGUGUUACUGCGAAGGGGGGACGGAGAAGGCUAUGUUGGCCGGGCGACGGUUGUCCCGGUUUAAGCGUGUAGGCUGGUUUUCCAGGCAAAUCCGGAAAAUCAAGGCUGAGGCGUGAUGACGAGGCACUACGGUGCUGAAGCAACAAAUGCCCUGCUUCCAGGAAAAGCCUCUAAGCAUCAGGUAACAUCAAAUCGUACCCCAAACCGACACAGGUGGUCAGGUAGAGAAUACCAAGGCGCUUGAGAGAACUCGGGUGAAGGAACUAGGCAAAAUGGUGCCGUAACUUCGGGAGAAGGCACGCUGAUAUGUAGGUGAAGCGACUUGCUCGUGGAGCUGAAAUCAGUCGAAGAUACCAGCUGGCUGCAACUGUUUAUUAAAAACACAGCACUGUGCAAACACGAAAGUGGACGUAUACGGUGUGACGCCUGCCCGGUGCCGGAAGGUUAAUUGAUGGGGUCAGCGCAAGCGAAGCUCUUGAUCGAAGCCCCGGUAAACGGCGGCCGUAACUAUAACGGUCCUAAGGUAGCGAAAUUCCUUGUCGGGUAAGUUCCGACCUGCACGAAUGGCGUAAUGAUGGCCAGGCUGUCUCCACCCGAGACUCAGUGAAAUUGAACUCGCUGUGAAGAUGCAGUGUACCCGCGGCAAGACGGAAAGACCCCGUGAACCUUUACUAUAGCUUGACACUGAACAUUGAGCCUUGAUGUGUAGGAUAGGUGGGAGGCUUUGAAGUGUGGACGCCAGUCUGCAUGGAGCCGACCUUGAAAUACCACCCUUUAAUGUUUGAUGUUCUAACGUUGACCCGUAAUCCGGGUUGCGGACAGUGUCUGGUGGGUAGUUUGACUGGGGCGGUCUCCUCCUAAAGAGUAACGGAGGAGCACGAAGGUUGGCUAAUCCUGGUCGGACAUCAGGAGGUUAGUGCAAUGGCAUAAGCCAGCUUGACUGCGAGCGUGACGGCGCGAGCAGGUGCGAAAGCAGGUCAUAGUGAUCCGGUGGUUCUGAAUGGAAGGGCCAUCGCUCAACGGAUAAAAGGUACUCCGGGGAUAACAGGCUGAUACCGCCCAAGAGUUCAUAUCGACGGCGGUGUUUGGCACCUCGAUGUCGGCUCAUCACAUCCUGGGGCUGAAGUAGGUCCCAAGGGUAUGGCUGUUCGCCAUUUAAAGUGGUACGCGAGCUGGGUUUAGAACGUCGUGAGACAGUUCGGUCCCUAUCUGCCGUGGGCGCUGGAGAACUGAGGGGGGCUGCUCCUAGUACGAGAGGACCGGAGUGGACGCAUCACUGGUGUUCGGGUUGUCAUGCCAAUGGCACUGCCCGGUAGCUAAAUGCGGAAGAGAUAAGUGCUGAAAGCAUCUAAGCACGAAACUUGCCCCGAGAUGAGUUCUCCCUGACUCCUUGAGAGUCCUGAAGGAACGUUGAAGACGACGACGUUGAUAGGCCGGGUGUGUAAGCGCAGCGAUGCGUUGAGCUAACCGGUACUAAUGAACCGUGAGGCUUAACCUUAC